UCAGACGGCAUCUAUCUCUCCCCCUCUUCAUGUGAUUGGCUGAUGGAUGCUCAAUGACCUUUCCCUCAGUGUUGAGCCUGUCAGUCAGACUGAAGGAGAGGGGGGCUGAACCAGAACACUAACCAGUCAGGAGAAGAGGAGGAGGGAGAGAGGGAGGGAGAGUAGGACGGUGCCUGAUAAGCCUCCCUUCCCUCCCAGAGAUGAGUUGAGAGGCAGGAAAGGGAAAGCAAAGAGUAGUUUCUCUGCCCCAGCAAAAAGCAGAUUUUCUAAGAACGUUACUUCUGAGGCAGCUGAAGAACUGUGAGAUCUGAUGAAGACAUGUGAAGGACCAUCCCACACGUAUCUGUCCAACCCACAUGAGCUUUUUGAGAGCACCUUUUGCGUGUCCCACCACCUUCAGAAGUAAGCAGGGGGAGAGUAACUGGCCCUAUCCACCCCCACCACAGGACCUCCGGUGUUUAUUGCUGCUGUCUAUCGUAUGUUUCUUUUUAGAUUGUGAGCCCUUUGGGGACAGGGAUCCAUUUUAUUUAUCUUAUUUAUUUAUUAUUUCUCUGUGUAAACUGCCCUGAGCCGUUUUUGGAAUGGCGGUAUAGAAAUUGAAUGAAUGAAUGAAUGAAUGAAUGAAUAAACAAAUAAAUAAACUUAAAGAUACCUUUAGCUUGGUACUUUAUGCCUCCAAAAUUCAGCCAUACAGUGAUACGCAGCAUACAGUGAUAAAUGCACCACUUUAAGACCAGCCUCUCUCUUUCAUGAGAGCAUCUAUGUUAACAAAAAAGGAAGAUGAACAUAUUUCUUAAUGGUUUCUGACACCAGCCCUAGAGAAAGCUGGUUGUCAACUCAAGGGCUGUUUGACUGAAAUAACCUGUAAAGAUUUCAAAAUAAUAGGCAUCAUUUGUGAAACUAGUUUUCUUACUGAAUUGUACAUAGUGGAAAUAGGGCAUACUAAUGCUACUUUGCUACCCGACAUACAAAUUCCUUUCCCAUGCCCUGCAUCUUGCUGGAGGGUGGGAGAACUGUAUUUUGUCUUCCAAGGCUUUCCCAUUGACUAUUCCAUGUCAGUACAGAUGAAUUCAAACCUUCCUCAGAGAAAAGUGUGUUUUCUCCCUCUUGCAUAACAGUAGAAUCAGGGGUCAUCACAUGAAACUGAUUGCCAAGAAAUUUAGGACCAACAAAAGGCAGUACUUUUUCAACCAAUGCAUAAUCAACUUGUGGGAUUCUCUGCCACAAGAUGUCAUGACAACCAGCAACCUGGAUGACUUUAAGAGUGGAGGUCUAUCAAUGGCUACUAGUCUUUGGAAAGGACAGGUCUAUCAAUGGCUACUAGUCUGAGAGCUAUAGGCAACCUCCAGCCUCAGAGGCAGGAUGCCUCUGGAUACCAAUUGCAGGGGAGUAACAGCAGGAGAGAGGGCAUGCCCUCAGCUCUUGCCUAUGGGCUUUCCAGUGGCACUUGGUGGGCCACUGUGUGAAACAGGAUGCUGGAUUGGAUGGGCCUUGGGCCUAAUCCAUCAGGGCUGUUUUUCUGUUCUUAUGAAUUUGUUGAGGCAAACUGCAUGUCACUUUCGGCUUGAAACCACAGUUGCACAAAUUCAGACAUAAUGGAGUUCCAAGCCCUGCCCCAUUAAACUCUGGUUUCAUACUGUGUCUGAAUUUGGUCAAUGCACAAAUAGGGUUUAUGAUGUAUUUGUUCUGUUGUUGUUUUCUUGGGAAAUUAGGUCAAAUCAGAUUUUUGACAAUAUUUAUUUAUUUUCCUUGAUAAGUUCAUAGUUGCUUAUGCACAAUACAAUUUUUUUAAAAGAACAAAUGCUUAGGAACUAGUUGAAAAUGUAGUUGAGUUUCUGCUUUUACUGGCUCUUAGGAUCCCUUCUCCUAACUACUUUCUUCCAUCAUUUGCUAAGCUCAGCGGGGAACGUUUGAAAUACAAGGGUAAAAAGCUGUGGAUCAUUUUUAAAUUGCUCUGCAUAUUGUUGUGAGUUUUGCUGCUUGAUUACUGUGAAUGGGUUUGUCAUUAUGGUUUGCCUAAAGUGUUACCAGAUGUGAGUCAGGGAUUUGACAAAAGAGCCUUAAUGUGCCUUUAAUGGCUGUGGACAUACCCUGAAUGGGCAAUACACACCUGCUGGGGUGGGGAAAAGACCAGUGCUCCAUGGAUGAGUGUGUGAGAAACAGCAAUUUGCUGAUGGA